rnacentral:lncRNA from 12 species
AUUAGGAAGGGCCUUGCGGGGCCGGCGACGACGCGACGACGGACGCAUCGUUUGUCUUUUAAAAGGAAGAGACUUUACAAGGCCUCAGGAGAGCCUAGCGGCUAGUGCCGCCCGUGCCACGGUGGGAGAAGCGGGGGGAGCGGGACGUGGGCGGAGCGGGAGGCGAGUCACCGUGAGUGUAAGGUGGACGUCGUCGGGAGGGCGUGCGCGGGGGGGUGCGCGGCGGUAUCGCUUCUCGGCCUUUUGGCUAAGAUCAAGUGUAGUAUCUGUUCUUAUCAGUUUAAUAUCUGAUACGUCCUCUAUCCGAGGACAAUAUAUUAAAUGGAUUUUUGGAGCAGGGAGAUGGAAUAGGAGCUUGCUCCGUCCACUCCGCGCAUCGACCUGGUAUUGCAGUACCUCCAGGAACGGUGCACCCCCUCGGGGAAGCACUCGGUUACAAAGAAUAGGUUUUGUUCCUUUUUUCGUCUUGACGUCAGGCAGAGUGUACCCGGGACUGAGGGAUGCAAGGCAUCUGUUUCUGUGCAUCCUGUCCACCGGUCUAGGAGAUACGCUAGGAAUUGACACAGAACAGUUGAAUACACGACAGAAAAUAGGCGAAGCAUAGACACUGUGUGCGGGAAGGGAGGAGGGGGACUCGAGACGGGAGAAAAACACAGGUAUGUGCUGACAUCUGGCCCCGAGCAACAUUACCCGUCUGUCCCCUCGAGUCUCUGCACCAAAGGGCCUGGGGCCACCCGCUCAUGCCGCGGACCCUAGGAUCCAUACGGUCCCUCUGUGCCAUCACUCCAAGAGGCAGGAUGAGCUGGGGGAACAGGCGCACCAGAGGCCAUCAAGAGCCUCAGUCACUCCCGUCACACACACACACACACACACACACACACACACACACACACGGAUCAGAGAAGAAGGUAAAUCCUACAGUGAAACAGUGUAGCACGAUGUUUAGGGGCUCCUGCUGUCGGGGCCGGCCAGGAACAUCCCCUCCAGAGCCCAGAAAAAUUGCUUCCUCUUUAUACCUCCGACCACGGAGCUAGAGGGAAGCCCAGGGCCCCGCAGGCCUCUUGCGUUCUGGAAGCAACACAUUCCACACCCAGACACCGUGCUUGGGCUGACGCCCUGGGUGACGGGGAAGACCCUCAGCUCGGAGGCUGGCCUAGAGCCUUAAAGAGCUCUCAAGCCGAGUCAGGGGCAGCGGGGGCAGCCCCGCGUUUGGGCCCCAGUAUCCAGCGGACCCCAGGGUGUUGGUGACAGGGGGUGGGUCCCUGAAGGAAAGAGAUGCCCUGUGGAGUAUAUGGCAAGUGGGGGCUGCAGAGGAUCACAAUGGGGCCCCUCCCUGGGGGUCCUAGCAAGGGCUGCUAGAGACUUCUCCACCUUCUGAAAAGCAGCUCCCGGCACACUGC